rnacentral:ncRNA from 2 species
CUCUUAUCCAGAGUGGUGGAGGGAACGGCCCUGCGAAGCCCGGCAACCGGCCCCGACACGGGGGAGAACGGCUAAUGCCGGGUUCCUGCCUUAGGCAGGGGCACGAUAAGAG